GGCCGCGGGAAUUCCUUUCAGGCCUAACACAUGCAAGUCGAGCGGAUGAAAGUCCCUUGCUACUGGAUUCAGCGGCGGACGGGUGAGUAAUGCUUAGGAAUCUGCCUAUUAGUGGGGGACAACAUCUCGAAAGGGAUGCUAAUACCGCAUACGUCCUACGGGAGAAAGCAGGGGAUCUUCGGACCUUGCGCUAAUAGAUGAGCCUAAGUCGGAUUAGCUAGUUGGUGGGGUAAAGGCCUACCAAGGCGACGAUCUGUAGCGGGUCUGAGAGGAUGAUCCGCCACACUGGGACUGAGACACGGCCCAGACUCCUACGGGAGGCAGCAGUGGGGAAUAUUGGACAAUGGGGGGAACCCUGAUCCAGCCAUGCCGCGUGUGUGAAGAAGGCCUUUUGGUUGUAAAGCACUUUAAGCGAGGAGGAGGAGCUCUUGGUUAAUACCCAGGAUGCUUGGACGUUACUCGCAGAAUAAGCACCGGCUAACUCUGUGCCAGCAGCCGCGGUAAUACAGAGGGUGCAAGCGUUAAUCGGAUUUACUGGGCGUAAAGCGCGCGUAGGUGGCCAAUUAAGUCAAAUGUGAAAUCCCCGAGCUUAACUUGGGAAUUGCAUUCGAUACUGGUUGGCUAGAGUAUGGGAGAGGAUGGUAGAAUUCCAGGUGUAGCGGUGAAAUGCGUAGAGAUCUGGAGGAAUACCGAUGGCGAAGGCAGCCAUCUGGCCUAAUACUGACACUGAGGUGCGAAAGCAUGGGGAGCAAACAGGAUUAGAUACCCUGGUAGUCCAUGCCGUAA
rnacentral:rRNA from 1 species